rnacentral:rRNA from 1 species
GACAAACCGUGCGAACGUUGUUCGGAAUCACUGGGCUUAAAGGGCGCGUAGGCGGCCGGGUUGGUCGUGGGUGAAAUCCCCCAGCUUAACUGGGGAACUGCCUACGAUACUGCCUGGCUCGAGGGAGGAAGGGGCGGUCGGAACUGUCGGUGGAGCGGUGAAAUGCGUUGAUAUCGACAGGAACGCCGGUGGCGAAAGCGGACCGCUGGCCCUCUUCUGACGCUGAGGCGCGAAAGCCAGGGGAGCGAACGGG